rnacentral:tRNA from 2 species
GGGGCUAUAGCUCAGUUGGGAGAGCACCUGCUUUGCACGCAGGGGGUCAGGAGUUCGAGUCUCCUUAGCUCCACCA